UGCGGUUAUACAAAAAUUAAAUUAAAUUUUUUUGGGAUUUAAUUAAUAAAAAUUUAAUUAAUAAUUUAAAUUUUAAAUUAUAAAGUGAAAUUUUAAUUUAAUUAAAAUUUAUUUAUUUUUAUGAUAUUAAUAAAUUUUAUAAAAAACUAGGAUUAGAUACCCUAUUAUAAAAAUUUAAAUUUAAAUAAUCUUAAAAUAGUAUAUAAUUUUUUAUAGAAACUUAAAUAAUUUGGCGGUAUUUUAGUUCAUUUAGAGGAAUCUGUCUAAUAAUUGAUAAUCCACGAUUAAAUUUACUUAAUUUUUAAUUUUGUAUAUCGUUGUUAAAAAAAUAUUUUUAAAUAAUUUUAAUAUUUUAAAAUUUAUAUGAAAAAUUAAAUCAGAUCAAGAUGCAGAUUAUAAUUAAGAAUAUGAUGGAUUACAAUAAAUUUUAUUUUAUUUGGAUAUUAAUUUGAAAUAAAUUGAUUGAAAUUGGAUUUAAAUGUAAUUUUAUUUAUUUUAAUAAAAUGAUUAAAAAUUAAAAUAUGUACAUAUUGCCCGUCGCUUUCAUUAACAAAUUGAAAUAAGUCGUAACAAAGUAGAGGUACUGGAAAGUGUUUCUAGAAAGAU
rnacentral:rRNA from 1 species